GGAAUAUUGGUCAAUGGCCGGAAGGCUGAGCCAGCCAAGUCGCGUGAGGGAAUAAGGCCCUACGGGUCGUAAACCUCUUUUGUCAGGGAGCAAGGCCGCCCACGUGUGGACGGAAGGAGAGUACCUGGAGAAAAAGCAUCGGCUAACUCCGCGCCAGCAGCCGCGGUAAUACGGAGGAUGCGAGCGUUAUGCGGAUUUAUUGGGUUUAAAGGGUGCGUAGGCGGACUGUCAAGUCAGCGGUAAAAUACGGGGGCUCAACCUCCGCCCGCCGUUGAAGCUGACGGUCUUGAGUGGGCGAGAAGUAUGCGGAAUGCGUGGUGUAGCGGUGAAAUGCAUAGAUAUCACGCAGAACUCCGAUUGCGAAGGCAGCAUACCGGCGCCAAACUGACGCUGAAGCACGAAAGCGUGGGUAUCGAA
rnacentral:rRNA from 1 species